rnacentral:tRNA from 1 species
GCCAGGGUGGCGUAGUGGUUUGAAUGUUGGACUAUGACUCUGGAGACCAGGGUUCGAUUUCCAGCUCAGCCA